UGAGUGAGAGUUUUUUAAUCUCCCCCAGUAAUCAAGGUGUUUGGUUCCUGCUAUUUAUAGCCGUUUUAAAAAUUUAUUAUAGCCGUUUUUUCUUUCCAGACUGGAUUCCUAGCCACUUUUUAAAUUUUUGCCACUGGGUCGAGAUGUGAAUGUCCGUUGAACUCCUUCCAGUUCUUGUAUAUCUGACACUUCAGAUGGAUUCCAUAAUGGGCAGCAGUAUUCGAGUAAACUGCGUACCAUGGACUUGUAUAGUGUCAGCAUGAUAGUGGAGCUUCUGGUGUGGAAGACACUCAAUACCCAUGCAGUCUUUUGACGUGCCUUGUUUGCCAUAGCUUUGAUAUGUAAAGUCCAGCUCAAGUCAGAACUGACAGUAACUCCAAGGUCCCGAAGUUGUUGGACAGGCGUAAGAUUGCCUUUUGAGGUUGAAUACUGGUAGACUUCACAUGUAAAUGGCAAGUGGUUCAAUGGGUUAGACCGAUUGACAGCAUGGCAUAGAAACUCAAAUUUGUCUUCAUUACAUAUUACAUAAGUCACAUAGGUCAGGUAUUUCGGUUGUUUUCAAUGGCCUUCAAACUUCAGCUUUUCGGAUGAAAUAAGACCCUUCAUAAUUGGAUUUCUCAGAAGUUUAUUUAAAUACUACUUAUACUGUUGUUAUAUAUUACUGUUGCUAUAUAUAUAUUAAGUAAGUUUUUCACCAGGAUAUAUUCAUAAAAACACUGUCUAACAUUUACUCCAUCAAAGGUAUUUGUAUGCACAAACUACGAUCCUGAUGGAGUCGAAAGCUACGAAAGUAGAGUGACAGAUCUCUUUACUCGAUAACUGUCCUUAUCCUUCACCAUGCUGGGUUCCUGGCCUUGCUUCAUCUAAAUACACAGCUGGUCAUAACCCUAAACCCUAUUUCAAAUGCUUUGUGAUCAACUGAGGAGCAGUGGAAGACAUAUUCAAUGGUUUCCAGAUUUAUUGAGACCAACAUAAUAGAUGACAUGCACACACUAUAGUUCGGUAUUGCACACAGAGCAUUUAAUUGCUAAAUUCUAGUGCUGCCUUAUUGAUUUGAAAUGAAAAAUGACUGAAAGACGAAAAAGACUGGCGCUCAGGACUGCCAUGAUAGAAACAACUGCACUGCAAAGAUUGAAUACCAGAUGCCUUAGGAAUGUGGAGUCGAACUGACCGUAACGACAUCGAGGAAGUUAUUAACAGCAUCAAAUCUGGGGAUGUCGAAGAUGACAAAACAGUUGAAAUGUUGAAUACUAUAGCUAUCUUAUUCAGCACUACCGAGAGGGUAUGGUAUUGCACCUCAGUUCAGGAUGCCAGACAAUAUUGUAUGCCGAUAAAAAAUGCUGCCAAUGAACACUAGACGAUUGUAUAACUUAUUCGUACAUCUGCAUAUUUAAUACCACAAACUUAUCGAUAAAUUGGCUAUCGGCUGUACUUCGAAUAAUCAGUUAAGAAGAAUUUCCAAUUUAAAUAUUAUGAUAUAUUAUUACAGAGAUAAUUUUGGACACGUAAGUUAAAGUUAAAGUUUGUUUCAAAUCGUGAAAUCUGUUUUGAUGAUAGAUUAUAUUUACAUAGCAUAUGUUUGAGAUAAAUUGGGGUCUUAGAGUAAUAUUAUGUAUCGUUAAUUGAUACUUCGAACUUUUGGAUAUCGAGCCUUUUUUAGGAUUACAUGAUUUAUUGAUUAAGCUG